AGAUUUAGGUUACAAUUACACCUGUUAUUUUGUCUCUCCUGUUUCUGCAAAUCAGGAAUUUGGAGGAGGGGGGUGGCUCUGCUAUACUCAUAGGUCAGUGCCUGUGCAGUCAUCAUCAGAGGAGCUUCCUCUGAUAGCAGACAGGAACAAAUACAGAGACCCACAGUCAGACAUUAUACAGAGAGAGAGUCUAAAUGAGAUGUCAACAUCAAAUUCCUGCACUCAGAGCUCAGCGAAACCCUCAGAAGAGGAGGUGGAAAGAGUUGAUCUCUGGCCAUUCUUGUGCUUUCAAGAACAUAAGCCUGUGUAUGACAGGCUCCCUUCACUCAUGUGCAUGUGCCUCAUGUACUUUACAUUUUCUAUAAUAAAGCAUGUACAUACCUGUUCUAAA